GACGAACCGUGCAAACGUUGUUCGGAAUCACUGGGCUUAAAGGGCGCGUAGGCGGCUUGCCAAGUCAGUGGUGAAAUCCUGCAGCUUAACUGUAGAAGUGCCUUUGAUACUGGCGAGCUCGAGGGAGGUAGGGGUCUGUGGAACUUCUGGUGGAGCGGUGAAAUGCGUUGAUAUCAGAAGGAACGCCGGUGGCGAAAGCGACGGACUGGACCUCUUCUGACGCUGAGGCGCGAAAGCCAGGGGAGGCAAACGGG
rnacentral:rRNA from 1 species